rnacentral:lncRNA from 1 species
CCAAGAGGAAGAAGGUGGCCCUCACCCCUGCUGUCUUGAAAAAGCAGGAGGCCAAGAAAGUGAUAAAUCCCGUUUGAGAAAAGGCCUAAGAAUGUUGGCAUUAGACAGUACAUCCAGCCCAAAAGGGACCUCCCUGGCUUUGUGAAAUGGCCCCGCUAUAUCAGGUUGCUGUGGCAAAGAGCCAUCCCCCGUAAGUGGCUGAAAGUGCCUCCUGCGAUUGACCCGUUCAUUCAGGCCUUGGACCACCAAACAGCUACUCAGCUGCAUAAGCUGGCCCACAAGUACAGACCAGAGACAAAGCAAGAGAAGAGGCUGUUGGCCCAGGCUGAGAAGAAAGCUGUGGCAAAGGGGAUGUGUCCACUAAGAGACUACCUGUUCUUUGAGCAGGAUUAACACUAUCACCACCUUGGUGGAGAAUAAGAAGGCUCAACUGAUGGUAACUGCACAUGACAUGGAUCCCAUUGAACUAAUCGUCUUCCUGCCUGCCCUGCGUCAUAAAAUGAGGAUCCCUCACUGCAUUAUCAAGGGGAAGGCAAGACUAGAAUGUCUAGUCCACAGGAAGACCUGCACCACUGUCGCUUUCACACAGGUUAGCUUGGAAGACAAAAGAGCUUUGGUUAAGCCAGUGGAAGCUAUCAGGACCAAUUACAACAAUAGAUACGAUGACAUCUAACAUCACUGAGGAGGCAAUUUCCUGAGUCUAAAAUCUUUGGCUCACAUUCCCAAGCUGGAAAAGGCAAAGGCUAAAGAACCCACCACUAGACUGG